CCUACGGGUGGCAGCAGUGAGGAAUAUUGGUCAAUGGGCGGAAGCCUGAACCAGCCAAGUCGCGUGAGGGAUUAAGGCCCUGCGGGUCGUAAACCUCUUUUGCCGGGGAGCAGAGGUCCGGACGUGUCCGGGCCGGGAGAGUACCCGGAGAAAAAGCAUCGGCUAACUCCGUGCCAGCAGCCGCGGUAAUACGGAGGAUGCGAGCGUUAUCCGGAUUUAUUGGGUUUAAGGGGUGCGUAGGCGGGCAUUUAAGCCGGCGGUCAAAUGUCGGGGCUCAACCCCGGCCUGCCGUCGGAACUGGGUGCCUUGAGUAUGUUUGAGGCAGGCGGAAUGCGUGGUGUAGCGGUGAAAUGCUUAGAUAUCACGCAGAACCCCGAUUGCGAAGGCAGCCUGCCAAGCCAUGACUGACGCUGAUGCACGAAAGCGUGGGGAUCAAACAGGAUUAGAUACCCCAGUAGUC
rnacentral:rRNA from 1 species